GGCCUCGUGGCUCAACUGGUGGCGCGUACGUUGUCCAAAAGCGCAAGAGGCGUCCGUGCGUGGGUUCGAAUCCCACUGAGGCUA
rnacentral:tRNA from 1 species